rnacentral:rRNA from 1 species
AUUGAACGCUGGCGGAAUGCUUUACACAUGCAAGUCGAACGGCAGCACGGACUUCGGUCUGGUGGCGAGUGGCGAACGGGUGAGUAACAUAUCGGAACGUAUCCAAUAAUGGGGGAUAACUAAUCGAAAGGUUGGCUAAUACCGCAUACGCCCUACGGGGGAAAGCUAGGGACCUUCGGGCCUGGCGUUAAUGGAGCGGCCGAUAUCUGAUUAGCUAGUUGGUGGGGUAAAGGCCCACCAAGGCGACGAUCAGUAGCUGGUCUGAGAGGACGACCAGCCACACUGGAACUGAGACACGGUCCAGACUCCUACGGGAGGCAGCAGUGGGGAAUUUUGGACAAUGGGCGCAAGCCUGAUCCAGCCAUUCCGCGUGAGUGAAGAAGGCCUUCGGGUUGUAAAGCUCUUUCGCAAGGGAAGAAAACUUAGGCUCUAACAUAGCCUGAGGUUGACGGUACCUUGAUAAGAAGCACCGGCUAACUACGUGCCAGCAGCCGCGGUAAUACGUAGGGUGCGAGCGUUAAUCGGAAUUACUGGGCGUAAAGCGUGCGCAGGCGGUUUUGUAAGUCAGAUGUGAAAUCCCCGAGCUCAACUUGGGAACUGCGUUUGAAACUACAAGACUAGAAUAUGUCAGAGGGGGGUAGAAUUCCACGUGUAGCAGUGAAAUGCGUAGAGAUGUGGAGGAAUACCAAUGGCGAAGGCAGCCCCCUGAGAUAAUAUUGACGCUCAUGCACGAAAGCGUGGGGAGCAAACAGGAUUAGAUACCCUGGUAGUCCACGCCCUAAACGAUGUCUACUAGUUGUUGGUGGAGUAAAAUCCAUGAGUAACGCAGCUAACGCGUGAAGUAGACCGCCUGGGGAGUACGGUCGCAAGAUUAAAACUCAAAUGAAUUGACGGGGGCCCGCACAAGCGGUGGAUUAUGUGGAUUAAUUCGAUGCACGCGAAAACCUUACCUGGGCCUUGACAUGUAACGAAACUUUUCAGAGAUGGAUUGCUGCUCGAAA